rnacentral:ncRNA from 1 species
GUGAAAUGACUUGAGAGGUGUAGUAUAAGUGGGAGCCGAAAGGCGAAAGUGAAAUACCACUACUUUUAACGUUAUUUUACUUAUUCCGUGAAUCGGAAG